rfam:Salmo salar isolate Sally breed double haploid chromosome ssa09, whole genome shotgun sequence.
CAUAUAAAUAUAUGUAAGUCGCUCUGGAUAAAAGCGUCUGCUAAAUGACGUAAA